AUUCUCUCUAAUCUUACUUUUUUUUCCUUUCUCCAAGGAUUAAAACAAAUAAUAACAACAACAGCAACAACAACAAAAAGACUUUAUUCUCUUUGUAUGAAGAUGGCUACACUGUCAGACCAAAGUCUGUUCCUCAAGAUUGCGCCUGCCAAAGUGGGCUGACUGCGUGGAAUCUGAACUCUCUCCCUUGUCAAAGGCAUUCAGUGAAGUGGCCAAUUGUACCCUGUGGAGAUGGACCCUGAGUUCAAAUCCUGCUCUGCCACUUCCUUGUUUAUGAACUCAAGAGCAGCUCACUUCCAAUGACUGGUUGACGCAGGGCCGACCCUCUUGCCUGGAUUCUGGACACAUCUCUGAAGGACCGAGAGUUAGGUUGAAGGCAGUUUUGCAAAGGCUUUGAAGUAUUCCUCAUGAAAGAGUAUUAAAAGGACGGUGAAACAACAACAAUGAAAAUCUCCAAAGGGUUGGCCAAGAAGGGAGAAUGAUUUGGUUAAUCCUUUCCCCUGGACACAUGUUCCCUAAUGUUCCCCUGCAGCCUGAUGGGAAUCUUCAUGAAAACAUUAUGAAAGACUCAAAAAGAAACUCAAGACACUGUGAUCAAGAGAACACAGACUGUUUAAGUUCAACCACAGACCAUAUGAUUAGUUGAUAUGCUACCAAGUAUCACUAAUAUGUUAUUUUGUUAUUAACAAGAAAUGUUAUAUAACAAGAAACAUGUUAUUUUGAAAUGGAGGGUGCCAGGAUUAUCUUUGCCACUCUUGUACUUACCUAACAAAGAGUGAAUGACCAAAAGAAUGUUUAUGAAUGACUAAAUGAAUGAAUGUUAAUAUUAGUAGCUAACCACAGAGCCCACCCUAAUGUAUCAGUCAGAGAUUAUGGUGAAAGAAAGGAAUGGUUACAAAAGCAGUAUCCAAGAAUCUGGCAUUGUCACUAGAGUACAUAUCUGGCUAAAGAAGGAACAAAUCAUAGUACUUGUCAUGUCUAGUACUUCUAACAAAUUGAGAGAAAACCCCAUGAUUCCAUGAAGAUCAAAAACUGGUGCUGAAAGAUUCUAGAUAAAAGCAUCACUGCUUCAUAGAAACUAAACAAACAAAUCCUGG
rnacentral:lncRNA from 1 species